GACGAACGCUGGCGGCGUGCUUAACACAUGCAAGUCGAACGGAAAGGCCCUGCUUUUGUGGGGUGCUCGAGUGGCGAACGGGUGAGUAACACGUGAGUAACCUGCCCUUGACUUUGGGAUAACUUCAGGAAACUGGGGCUAAUACCGGAUAGGAGCUCCUGCUGCAUGGUGGGGGUUGGAAAGUUUCGGCGGUUGGGGAUGGACUCGCGGCUUAUCAGCUUGUUGGUGGGGUAGUGGCUUACCAAGGCUUUGACGGGUAGCCGGCCUGAGAGGGUGACCGGCCACAUUGGGACUGAGAUACGGCCCAGACUCCUACGGGAGGCAGCAGUGGGGAAUAUUGCACAAUGGGCGGAAGCCUGAUGCAGCAACGCCGCGUGCGGGAUGACGGCCUUCGGGUUGUAAACCGCUUUCGCCUGUGACGAAGCGUGAGUGACGGUAAUGGGUAAAGAAGCACCGGCUAACUACGUGCCAGCAGCCGCGGUGAUACGUAGGGUGCGAGCGUUGUCCGGAUUUAUUGGGCGUAAAGGGCUCGUAGGUGGUUGAUCGCGUCGGAAGUGUAAUCUUGGGGCUUAACCCUGAGCGUGCUUUCGAUACGGGUUGACUUGAGGAAGGUAGGGGAGAAUGGAAUUCCUGGUGGAGCGGUGGAAUGCGCAGAUAUCAGGGGGAACACCAGUGGCGAAGGCGGUUCUCUGGGCCUUUCCUGACGCUGAGGAGCGAAAGCGUGGGGAGCGAACAGGCUUAGAUACCCUGGUAGUCCACGCUGUAAACGGUGGGUACUAGGUGUGGGGUCCAUUCCACGGGUUCCGUGCCGUAGCUAACGCUUUAAGUACCCCGCCUGGGGAGUACGGCCGCAAGGCUAAAACCCAAAGGAAUUGACGGGGCCCCGCACAAGCGGCGGAGCAUGCGGAUUAAUUCGAUGCAACGCGUAGAACCUUACCUGGGUUUGACAUGGAUCGGGAGCGCUCAGAGAUGGGUGUGCCUCUUUUGGGGUCGGUUCACAGGUGGUGCAUGGCUGUCGUCAGCUCGUGUCGUGAGAUGUUGGGUUAAGUCCCGCAACGAGCGCAACCCUUGUUCACUGUUGCCAGCACGUUAUGGUGGGGACUCAGUGGAGACCGCCGGGGUCAACUCGGAGGAAGGUGGGGAUGACGUCAAGUCAUCAUGCCCCUUAUGUCCAGGGCUUCACGCAUGCUACAAUGGCUGGUACAGGGAGUGGCGAGCCUGUGAGGGUGAGCGAAUCUCGGAAAGCCGGUCUCAGUUCGGAUUGGGGUCUGCAACUCGACCUCAUGAAGUCGGAGUCGCUAGCAAUCGCAGAUCAGCAACGCUGCGGUGAAUACGUUCCCGGG
rnacentral:rRNA from 1 species